AUUGAACGCUGGCGGCGUGCCUAACACAUGCAAGUCGCACGAGAAAGACUGUUUUCGGACGGUCGAGUAAAGUGGCGCACGGGUGAGUAGCGCGUAGGUAACCUACCCUUGUAUUGGGGAUAACCCCGCGAAAGCGGGGCUAAUACCGGAUACGAUCCUGACCUGGUGGGGUUGGGAUGAAAGUGGGCCUCUCGAAGAAGCUCGCGUACGGGGAUGGGCCUGCGUCCUAUCAGCUAGUUGGUGGGGUAAUGGCUCACCAAGGCGACGACGGGUAGCUGGUCUGAGAGGAUGAUCAGCCACACUGGCACUGGAACACGGGCCAGACUCCUACGGGUGGCAG
rnacentral:rRNA from 1 species